UUUGAUAGGAAUACGCAGGAAUCUGGUGGUAUUGAACAACCUCCCGCGACAGAUUGCACCAUUUAACCUUUUCAAAACAAACUUUGCAAUGAGGGAGGGAAAGGCUUUACACUUGGCCAUCAUCUCCAUGCAGUCUUAUGCUUCAAACCAGUUUGUUUGGACGCGUGGACCUGCCAUAAAACAAACACCUGUAGCCUACACCAAUCACGACUUCUAUCAUUCAGCACAAUGAUAUUUUCAUAUAGCCCUGUUGCUGCAAUUCAAGAGAAACGCAAAGCUGGUGUCAAAGAAAGCAAGUUUUCUGAAACAUUGGAAAGCUACUUAGUAGGAUAUAGGGUUGCAGGGAAGGCAUAUCUUCCACUGAUCAUGCUGAAUGCGGUUUCUUGAUGUUUGGCAUAUUCAUUGAACUUAAUAAGAGGAACAUGAUGGCAUUGUACCUGGCAAAGUUGGCUUAUUCCAAGAGUACAUACAGAUGUCUUUAUUCUUUAAGGAGAACAUUUUCAUCUAAUUCAGCAAAUGACACCACUCCUUUUACUGUUGAAACCACUCUUCCCUUCAUAGGGUAUAGAUGUGAACCUCCUCCUCGAAGUGUCGAAACAAGUCCAAAAGAAUUGAUGUCUUUCUAUAAGGAUAUGUCUAUAAUGAGACGCAUGGAAAUAACUGCAGAUUCACUUUACAAGUCAGGUUUAGUCAGAGGAUUUUGUCAUUUGUAUGAUGGACAAGAGGCAAUUGCUGUUGGCAUCAAGGAGGUAACAUCCCAAACAGAUUGUGUCAUCACAGCAUACAGAGACCACUGCAUUUUUCUAGGUAGAGGUGGGUCAUUACUGGAGGUGUUUGCAGAACUUUUGGGGAGGAAAGAUGGUUGCUCAUUAGGAAAGGGAGGUUCGAUGCAUUUGUAUAAGAAGGAUAACAGGUUUUAUGGUGGACAUGGAAUUGUUGGAGCACACAUUCCGCUUGGAUGUGGUCUGGCCUUUGCCCUUAAAUAUGGAAAAGUAGAUGCAGUAUCAAUUACUCUUUAUGGUGAUGGUGCUGCAAAUCAGGGGCAACUUUAUGAAGCUCUUAAUAUGGCUGCUUUGUGGAACUUGCCUGUGGUUCUUGUGUGCGAGAAUAAUCAUUAUGGCAUGGGUACAGCAGAAUGGCGAGCAGCAAAAUGCUCUGCAUAUUACAAGCGAGGACACUAUGUUCCAGGUCUCAAGCCGACGGAAAUAGGACAGGUUUCUGGUUUUGGCGCUUGGGUGGAGACCUUUGUUGGCAUUUGCAGGGUUUUGACAGCCACAGAGCAGAUUGAAAUACUUUUUUGGGGGGGCAUUUGCAGGGUUUUGACAGCCAUAGUUCAUUCAAAGAUUCAAAAUACAAAACAAUGAGCAGCCAUGGGAGUGACAGUAGUAGUGACAAUGAAGUGGAAGUGGUUGGUGGAAAUACAAGUGAAAGUAUUGAGAAAUCUAGAAGUAGUGGGCAGCAACCUAGCAUAUUUAAAUGCCCUUAAAAAAUUAUGGAAACUUAUGCAAAGGGCCCUUUAAAUAAAAACAAAUCUCUUCUCCAAUAUGUUACACCUAGGCCUAGGGGUGAAGGGAAAAAAUCUUCUGGAGGGAGUAGGGUGUGGGAUUGCCAUGUUUGUUUGAAAGAUUUUAGGGGCAGCUACACAAGGGUAAAAUCUCACUUUUUGGGUCUUCCAUGCCAUGGGGUCACAUCUUGUCCAAAUUUAAACGAUGAGGAGAGGGUAGAGUGUCAUAGAUUGCAUAUGGAGGUAGAAAUGGGAAAACAAGGUGGUGCAGUCCUAACACCUUCUUUUGCAUCUUCACUAAUAUCUAGGCCUACGACAUCCACUAUUGGUAGUAGUCAAAUUGGGACAAGAGGAAAGAGGAAGAUGGGUAGUGGGAAGGGAGGGUCAGUAGAAGCUUUGUUUAAUGUAAAAGGAUGUGAAGCUUUAGAGUCAUUUGUAGGUAGAUUCUUUUUUUCUAAUGCCAUCCCAUUUAAUGUGGCACGCUCCUCUUACUUCAAAGAAAUGUUCAUGGAUAUAGCCAAUUUCGGUCCCACAACCACCCCCCCGGAGAUCAUAAGCUACGGACUACUAUCUUAGACAAAGAAUAUUCCAAGAUUAAUGUGUUAAUGGAGGAUAUAAAACGAACUUGGAUGAGGACUGGUUGCUCUAUUGUGAGUGAUGGGUGGACUGAUGUUAGACAUCGUCCACUCAUCAAUAUCAUUGUCACAUGCCCUGCUGGUUCUUAUUUUCUGAAAGCUGUGGAUUGUUCAGGGAAGCGUAAGGAUGCAGAGUUCCAGUUUAGUAUUUUGAGAGAUGCCAUUGAGGAGGUUGGGGCAACUAAUGUUGUAUAGGUGAUCACUGAUUCAGCACGUGUGUGCAAAUCAGCAGGUUUGAUGGUGGAGGGUGCUUACAAGCACAUCUUUUGGACCCCAUGUUGUGUUCAUGCAUUAAACAAUGCAUUGAAAGACAUAGGAAAAAUAGAUUGGGUGAAGCAUGCGGUGGUAGAAGCUAGAGACAUUCAAAUGUUCAUUUGCAACCACCACACCUCACUUGCUCUCUUUAGAUCAUUUUCAAAGAAGGAGUUCCUCAAACCCAUUGAAACAAGGUAUGCUAGUUACUUCAUCUUGUUGGAGAGGAUGCUUGAGGUGCAUGAUCCUCUACAGUUGAUGGUGGUGAAUCCUGAAUGGACUAGAUGGCGGGAAUCAAACUCUACUGAAGGAAAAUCUACCAAACAAAAGAUUCUUGAUGACAAUUGGUGGUCCACUGUGAGAUACCUUUGCUCUAUCAUUUCUCCUAUUGUAGAUGUCAUCAGAUAUGUUGAUACAGACUCUCCUAGUCUUGGAGAGAUAUAUGAGACAUUUGACUAUAUGCUUGGGAAGAUUAAGCAAACAAUUUCGGAUAAGGAUCCUACUUUGGAGUUCUAUGAGUAGCAUAUCAGGCCCAUUGUGACAUGAAGGUGGAACAUAAUGAACACCCCGCUUCAUAUGGCAGCCUAUGCAUUGAAUCCGAAAUGGUAUGCACCAAGGGAUGGAAGGGUGCUUCCAUGUGAUGAUGAUGAGGUUUUAGAUGGGUUCACAUGGGCAAUUGAUAAGAUAUAUACAGAGGAGCAGGCUUCCAUACUUCGUGCACAAUUCUUUGACUUCACAAAUCUUCGUGGUCCUACAUUGAGUAAACCACAGGCGAGGUUGGACAUAGCCAUAUUAGCCCAAAAAGACCCUAUUGGAUGGUGGACAUGGCAUGGGAGGGAUACACCACAAUUGAAAUCGCUUGCCACUCGCCUACUUUCACAGGUUGCUAGUUCCUCUGCUGCAGAGAGGAAUUGGUCCACAUAUGGCUUUAUCCACUCUAUCAAGAGGAAUAGACUUACCUCUAGACGAGCGGAGAAGCUAGUAGCUAUGCAUAGUGCUCUUCGACUUCAGGAUCGUCAGACGCCAGAGUAUCGACAGACUCUAUCUUUGCGAUGGGAUGUUGAUCCCGAAGAUGUGGCCCAGGUUGAUGAGGAGGAGACAACACAGGGAUUGGUUGGGAUUCCAUUGGAUGAGAUGGACAUAGACCAUGACAGUGGGAGCGACUCAGAGGACUCUGAUUUUGAUGCAAUGUUAGGAGAAGCAGUUUAGGGGCAGCAUUAUACUUUUCUUUUUUGUAUUUAGUUUCUGUUUUAUUGAGUACUAUUUUGAUUUUCAUAUUGUAAUUGACAAUGCAACUAUAUGGCAGCAGUGUAGCCUUUGGGCAUUUUGACAUUUUGUAUGUUAUUUCUUUAAAGUUUAAUAUCUAUUAUGAUAUGCAUA